UAGCUCCGUGGUACCGAAAAGGCCCACAAGUCACUUAGAAUUGCCUCAGUGUGCUUGUGCCUCCUCAAGUAAGGUUCGGCUCUAAAAAUCCUGAUGGCGCAGCACUGUUUCUUCGUUGUUACACGGCUGAAGGAAAAAAACAAAACAAAAAACAAACUCAUCCCUUGGCGGGGGGUUCCCAUUGGAAGGAGACCCUUUCCGACUCUUACAAGCAAUUUGUUCCUGAGGAAACAAAAUUUCUCCCCUCAAGUCACCACAGAAUUUCGCAGAACCCAAACACACGUUGCUGUACACCGUGGUCACAAGUUUGUUUCUUGUUUCUACUAAUGGACGCUGAAAAGAAGGAGUUGGAAGGAUAAGGAUGAGUGAGCACUGUCCACCUUAGUACAUCCAAGAUGCAUUCACUUACUAUGAAGCUUGGCUAGAAGAGCUGUCCCACCUGUUCUGCUUUCUAUCCUCCAACAAGGCACUG